ensembl:lncRNA
UAGAUACUGGUCAGUUAGAGACAGUAGGAUAGAUAGAUACUGGUCAGUUAGAGACAGUAGGACAGAUAGAUACUGGUCAGUUAGAGACAGUAGGAUAGAUAGAUACUGGUCAGUUAGAGACAGUAGGAUAGAUAGAUACUGGUCAGUUAGAGACAGUAGGAUACAUACUGGUCAGUUAGAGACAGUAGGACAGAUAGAUACUGGUCAGUUAGAGACAGUAGGACAGAUAGAUACUGGUCAGUUAGAGACAGUAGGACAGAUAGAUACUGGUCAGUUAGAGACAGUAGGAUAGAUAGAUACUGGUCAGUUAGAGACAGUAGGAUAGAUAGAUACUGGUCAGUUAGAGACAGUAGGAUAGAUAGAUACUGGUCAGUUAGAGACAGUAGGACAGAUACUGGUCAGUUAGAGACAGUAGGACAGAUAGAUACUGGUCAGUUAGAGACAGUAGGACAGAUACUGGUCAGUUAGAGACAGUAGGACAGAUAGAUACAGGUCAGUUAGAGACAGACAGAUAGAUACUGGUCAGUUAGAGACAGUAGGAUAGAUACUGGUCAGUUAGAGACAGUAGGACAGAUAGAUACUGGUCAGUUAGAGACAGUAGGAUAGAUAGAUACUGGUCAGUUAGAGACAGUAGGAUAGAUAGAUACUGGUCAGUUAGAGACAGUAGGAUAGAUAGAUACUGGUCAGUUAGAGACAGUAGGAUAGAUACUGGUCAGUUAGAGACAGUAGGACAGAUAGAUACUGGUCAGUUAGAGACAGUAGGAUAGAUAGAUACUGGUCAGUUAGAGACAGUAGGACAGAUAGAUACUGGUCAGUUAGAGACAGUAGGAUAG